rnacentral:rRNA from 1 species
UACGUAGGUGGCAAGCGUUGUCCGGAUUUAUUAGGUUUAAAGGGUGCGUAGGCGGCCCUGUAAGUCAGUUGUGAAAUCCGGCAGCUUAACUGUCGAGGUGCAAUUGAUACUGCAGGGCUUGAGUACUGAUGAGGUAGGCGGAAUGGACGGUGUAGCGGUGAAAUGCUUAGAGAUCGGGCAGAACACCGAUAGCGAAGGCAGCUUACUAAGGAGUAACUGACGCUGAGGCACGAAAGUGUGGGGAGCAAACAGG